rnacentral:rRNA from 1 species
GUGGGGAAUAUUGGACAAUGGGCGAAAGCCUGAUCCAGCCAUGCCGCGUGUGUGAAGAAGGUCUUCGGAUUGUAAAGCACUUUAAGUUGGGAGGAAGGGCAGUAAGUUAAUACCUUGCUGUUUUGACGUUACCAACAGAAUAAGCACCGGCUAACUUCGUGCCAGCAGCCGCGGUAAUACGAAGGGUGCAAGCGUUAAUCGGAAUUACUGGGCGUAAAGCGCGCGUAGGUGGUUCAGCAAGUUGAAGGUGAAAUCCCCGGGCUCAACCUGGGAACUGCCUCCAAAACUACUGAGCUAGAGUACGGUAGAGGGUAGUGGAAUUUCCUGUGUAGCGGUGAAAUGCGUAGAUAUAGGAAGGAACACCAGUGGCGAAGGCGACUACCUGGACUGAUACUGACUCUGAGGUGCGAAAGCGUGGGGAGCAAACAGGAUUAGAAACCCUUGUAGUCC